CUGUUCUAACACGUGCCAUUUGGGAUCCCUUGGAAUCUUCAUGUACGGAACUGGUUGCUGCCUCGUUGAGUCGGUGGGGACAGAAUAGCUCCUGGUUGACAGCAUGGGUUGUGCAGAAGGACGGAUCCUGCAGACAUCAAUAUCUGGCUUUGAGUGGCACAAAGAAAUAAAGGAACGUGGAUUCAGACCUCACUGGGAUGCUUGGCAAUUCUAAUUCUACCCCAGACUGCAAAUGGACACACAACUGUUGUGACUUUUGUUGAAGAGGAGAAGGAUGGGUGAGCAUGUGACGUUGGGAAAUUGUAUUUUCUUCUUCGAGUUCUUCUGUUUCUGAAUAUUUAAUCCUACUGUUCUCUUCUUUAGUGAAGGUCUCUUUAGUCAAUAAUCUCUUUGCUGAAAUUGCUUCGGGCAGCACAGAAGCUGGAUUCAGAAGCACACAGGUCUGGGGAUGCAGGCUUCGGCCAGCCUGAUGCAAGGAAAGACUGCCAUCUCGUGGUCAGCUCAAUCCUGGCACCUUGGUGAGGGUCCAGGCUGCAGAAAACCAGGCUUGGGGAGGAAAUGGUGCUGCAAACUGGAUUUCUGCCGGACAGUGUGGAUGCCCUUAGAAAACACCCAGAAAAGAGCUGAGUGCCCCCCAAGGUAGGCUUCAGUGAAUCCUCUGCAGGUGUGUUGUCAUCCCUUGAGCCAAACACAUGCUUCACACACACACUGCAGGCUGUGUGAAAAUGAGGUAGAAAUGUGGGGAAAACAUAAUCCCAUGGAGAGAACAAAGAGCUGAACACGUAAAUGCCUCCGGCGUGCCUGGCAGAGAGAACACUCAGGCUGAGAGAAGGGACAGUGACUUGUACCAAAGGUAGGCAAGUAGCCUUUGGGGGGGUCUCAAUCAGCAGGGCAUCUGGUCAACCCCUCAGACAAAGUCAGGUCUGAGCAGGCAAGAUCCAUGGAUCUGAUUUAUUAAUAUUUUUACAAUUAAAUAGAAUCUGAUUGUAAAACUGUUACAUGUGUUGUAAGAAAAAAAGAAAAAACGAACGAUAUAGAAAUGUACAAAGAAGGAAAUAAAAGACUGGAAGCGUCCUCACCUUAGGGACCCAUGAUUAACGCUUAGGUGGCCAAUCUUCCAGACGUCUUGCUACGAAUAUAUUCAAACGGAAAUAAAAAUGUACUUUUACACAAGUGCAAUCAGACC
rnacentral:lncRNA from 1 species